GGAUUAGAUACCCUGGUAGUCCACGCCGUAAACGAUGUCGACUUGGAGGUUGUUCCCUUGAGGAGUGGCUUCCGGAGCUAACGCGUUAAGUCGACCGCCUGGGGAGUACGGCCGCAAGGUUAAAACUCAAAUGAAUUGACGGGGGCCCGCACAAGCGGUGGAGCAUGUGGUUUAAUUCGAUGCAACGCGAAGAACCUUACCUACUCUUGACAUCCAGGGAAUUUGGCAGAGAUGCCUUAGUGCCUUCGGGAACCGUGAGACAGGUGCUGCAUGGCUGUCGUCAGCUCGUGUUGUGAAAUGUUGGGUUAAGUCCCGCAACGAGCGCAACCCUUAUCCUUUGUUGCCAGCGAUUCGGUCGGGAACUCAAAGGAGACUGCCGGUGAUAAACCGGAGGAAGGUGGGGAUGACGUCAAGUCAUCAUGGCCCUUACGAGUAGGGCUACACACGUGCUACAAUGGCGCAUACAAAGAGAAGCGACCUCGCGAGAGCAAGCGGACCUCAUAAAGUGCGUCGUAGUCCGGAUCGGAGUCUGCAACUCGACUCCGUGAAGUCGGAAUCGCUAGUAAUCGUGGAUCAGAAUGCCACGGUGAAUACGUUCCCGGGCCUUGUACACACCGCCCGUCACACCAUGGGAGUGGGUUGCAAAAGAAGUAGGUAGCUUAACCUUCGGGAGGGCGCUUACCACUUUGUGAUUCAUGACUGGGGUGAAGUCGUAACAAGGUA
rnacentral:rRNA from 1 species